UAAUGUACCAUCCUUAAUGUACCUAAUCACAUCUGAUCUCUGAAGCUAAGCAGGAUCAGACCGGGUGAGUACUUGAAUCGGAAUAUGGGAAUAAAUGAAUGACCAUCAU
rnacentral:rRNA from 1 species